rnacentral:rRNA from 1 species
AUUGAACGCUGGCGGCGUGCCUUACACAUGCAAGUCGAACGGUAACAGGUUAAGCUGACGAGUGGCGAACGGGUGAGUAAUGUAUCGGAACGUGCCCAGUCGUGGGGGAUAACUACUCGAAAGAGUGGCUAAUACCGCAUACGACCUGAGGGUGAAAGCGGGGGACCGUAAGGCCUCGCGCGAUUGGAGCGGCCGAUAUCAGAUUAGCUAGUUGGUGGGGUAAAAGCCCACCAAGGCGACGAUCUGUAGCUGGUCUGAGAGGACGACCAGCCACACUGGGACUGAGACACGGCCCAGGCUCCUACGGGAGGCAGCAGUGGGGAAUUUUGGACAAUGGACGCAAGUCUGAUCCAGCCAUGCCGCGUGCGGGAAGAAGGCCUUCGGGUUGUAAACCGCUUUUGUCAGGGAAGAAACGAGUUUCUCUAAUACAGAGACUUAAUGACGGUACCUGAAGAAUAAGCACCGGCUAACUACGUGCCAGCCGCCGCCGUAAUAC